UACAGAGGCCUCGAGCGUUAGGCGGAAUCACUGGGCUUAAAGCGUGUGUAGGCGGACUUCUAAGUACCUUGUGAAAUCCCACGGCUUACCCGUGGAACGGCUGGGUAUACUGGGAGUCUUGAGCCACCUAGGGGCGAGUGGAACAAAUGGUGGAGCGGUGAAAUGCGUAGAUAUCAUUUGGAACGCCAAUGGUGAAAACAACUCGCUGGGGGUGUGCUGACGCUGAGACACGAAGCCAGGGGAGCGAACGGG
rnacentral:rRNA from 1 species